AUCUAUCGGGUCCGAGGAAUCGUCGACCAGGACGAGGAAUCGUCGACCGGGUCCGACUAAGUAUUUUGGUCUGUUCUCGACCAUGAUCUAGUUUUCCUUUAAAACAAACCGGCCUCUUUAGAAACGCGGGACGCGAUCGUUACAAGUCUUCCCCCUUAAACUGAAUUCGUCCUCGGGUUCGGGGUGUAAGAUCUUGGUUACUCCCUAACUCGGGACACGGGCGUUACAGGUUACACUCACGAAGGUGCAUAGUGAGAAGAGUAAGUCAAGAGACAGACUUGUUCAAAAAGAAACAAAAGAGAAUGCUUGGGGUUACACUCACGAAGGUGCAUUGUGAGAAGAGUAAGUCAAGAGCCGACUUGUUCAAAAAGUUACAAAAGAGAAUGCUUGGGGAGACACUCACGAAGGUGCAUAGGAAGAGUAAGUCAAGAGAAAGACUUGUUUAAAAAGAACCAGAAGAGAAUGCUUGGGGAGAUAGAAGUGUGAGAUAGUUCUCAAGCUAAGAAAGUUUUAAGAGCUAAGAACUAGCAUCAAAUGAUGGAUGAAACACAAGGUAGUUGUUGAAAAGUCAAAGACUUGGUGAUAUGAACACAAACGCUCAAUAUGACAAACCCAUGCCAAGUAAAGAGAAAAUGAAAACUGGUGAUUGUUGCGAAAUCGUCCAGGAUUCCUCGACCAGGACUUGAAAUCGUCAAGGGGAAAAAAAUCGGUUCCGAGGAAUCGUCGAUCCGGACUUGGAAUCGUCGAGAAAAGUUUACUGGAGUCGAGGAAUCGUCGAU
rnacentral:misc_RNA from 1 species